rnacentral:rRNA from 1 species
CCUACGGGUGGCAGCAGUGGGGAAUAUUGGGCAAUGGGCGCAAGCCUGACCCAGCAACGCCGCGUGAAGGAAGAAGGCUUUCGGGUUGUAAACUUCUUUUAUCAGGGACGAAGCAAGUGGCGGUACCUGAUGAAUAAGCCACGGCUAACUACGGGCCAGCAGCCGCGGUAAUACGUAGGGGGCAAGCGUUAUCCGGAUUUACUGGGUGUAAAGGGCGUGUAGGCGGGAAAGCAAGUCAGAUGUGAAAACCAUGGGCUCAACCUGUGGCCUGCAUUUGAAACUGUCUUUCUUGAGUACUGGAGAGGCAGACGGAAGUCCUAGUGUAGCGGUGAAAUGCGUAGAUAUUAGGAGGAACACCAGUGGCGAAGGCGGUCUGCUGGACAGCAACUGACGCUGAGGCGCGAAAGCGUGGGGAGCAAACAGGAUUAGAUACCCGGGUAGUC